AUACUUACUUGACCUUGGACGGCGGCGAUCACGCAGGUCGCGUUCCCGGGCUGAAGCCUUCCAUUGGACUGCAGGUGGCUGACGCUCGCCAUCGCCCCUAAUUGGUCCAGGUGGAGCAUGUAAUUUUUGGUAGUGGGGUACGGCGUGCGCACUAACCCCUU